rnacentral:rRNA from 1 species
UACGGAGGGUGCAAACGUUGCUCGGAAUCACUGGGCGUAAAGCGCACGUAGGCGGCCUAGUAAGUUGGAUGUGAAAGCCCUGGGCUCAACCCAGGAAGUGCAUCCAAAACUGCAUGGCUUGAGUGCCGGAGGGGUUCAGAGAAUUCCCGGUGUAGAGGUGAAAUUCGUAGAUAUCGGGAGGAAUACCAGUGGCGAAGGCGCUGAACUGGACGGUAACUGACGCUGAGGUGCGAAAGCGUGGGUAGCAAACAGG